rnacentral:rRNA from 1 species
UACGGAGGGGGCUAGCGUUGUUCGGAAUUACUGGGCGUAAAGCGCGCGUAGGCGGACCUGCAAGUCGGGGGUGAAAGCCCGAGGCUCAACCUCGGAACUGCCUUCGAUACUGCGGGUCUCGAGUCCGGGAGAGGUGAGUGGAAUUCCUAGUGUAGAGGUGAAAUUCGUAGAUAUUAGGAAGAACACCAGUGGCGAAGGCGGCUCACUGGGUCUCUUCUGACGCUGAGGAACGAAAGCUAGGGGAGCAAACGGG